rnacentral:rRNA from 1 species
AUUGAACGCUGGCGGCAUGCCUUACACAUGCAAGUCGAACGGUAACAGGUCUUCGGAUGCUGACGAGUGGCGAACGGGUGAGUAAUACAUCGGAACGUGCCUAGUAGUGGGGGAUAACUACUCGAAAGAGUGGCUAAUACCGCAUGAGAUCUACGGAUGAAAGCAGGGGAUCGCAAGACCUUGUGCUACUAAAGCGGCCGAUGGCAGAUGAGGUAGUUGGUGGGAUAAAAGCUUACCAAGCCGACGAUCUGUAGCUGGUCUGAGAGGACGAUCAGCCAGAAUGGGACUGAGACACGGCCCAGACUCCUACGGGAAGAAGCAGUGGGGAAUUUUGGUAAAUGGGCGAAAGCCUGAUCCAGCAAUGCCGCGUGCAGGAUGAAGGCCUUCGGGUUGUAAACUGCUUUUGUACGGAACGAAAAGCCCCGGGUUAAUACCCUGGGGUCAUGACGGUACCGUAAGAAUAAGCACCGGCUAACUACGUGCCAGCCGCCGCAGUAA